rnacentral:rRNA from 1 species
GAUGAACGCUAGCGGCAGGCCUAAUACAUGCAAGUCGAACGGUAAAUAUUAUAGCAAUAUGAUAUGAGAGUGACGUACGGGUGCGUAACACGUAUGCAACCUACCCUUUACAGGAGUAUAGCUCGGGGAAACUCGAAUUAACACUUCAUAGUAUAAUUGAGUGGCAUCAUUUGAUUAUUAAAUCUGAGGAGGUAAAGGAUGGGCGAUGCGUCUGAUUAGCUAGUUGGUAGUGUAACGGACUACCAAGGCGAUGAUCAGUAGGGGAACGUGAGAGGUUGAUCCCCCACCACUGGCACUGAGAUACGGGCCAGACUCCUACGGGAGGCAG